UGGGGAAUAUUGGACAAUGGGCGCAAGCCUGAUCCAGCCAUGCCGCGUGAGUGAUGAGGGCCUUAGGGUUGUAAUGCUCUUUUUGGCGGGGACGAUAAUGACGGUACCCGCAGAAUAAGCCCCGGCUAACUUCGUGCCAGCAGCCGCGGUAAUACGAAGGGGGCUAGCGUUGUUCGGAAUUACUGGGCGUAAAGCGCACGUAGGCGGAUCAGCAAGUCAGGGGUGAAAUCCCGGGGCUCAACCUCGGAACUGCCUCUGAUACUGCUGGUCUGGAGUCCGGAAGAGGUGGGUGGAAUUCCUAGUGUAGAGGUGAAAUUCGCAGAUAUUAGGAAGAACACCGGUGGCGAAGGCGGCCCACUGGUCCGGUACUGACGCUGAGGUGCGAAAGCGUGGGGAGCAAACAGGAUUAGAUACCCCAGUAGUCCCUGAGCGGGCUGGCAAGGCGCAU
rnacentral:rRNA from 1 species